GAUGAACGCUGGCGGCGUGCCUAACACAUGCAAGUCGAGCGACCAGACGAGGAUCUUGCUCCUCUCACGUUACCGGCGGACGGGUGAGUAACACGUGGAUAACCUAUCUUUAAGAAUGGGAUAACUUCGGGAAACCGGAUCUAACACCCGACAAUAUAUUGAACCGCAUGGUUCAAUAGUCCUCGCCGUUUUUGCUCUCCCUUAUACAUGGUUCCUCGCCGCAUUAGCUAGUUGGUAAGGUAACGGCUUACCAAGGCAACGAUGCGUAGCCGACCUGAGAGGAUGAUCGGCCACACUGGAACUGAGACACGGUCCAGACUCCUACGGGAGGCAGCAGUAGGGAAUCUUGCGCAAUGGGCGAAAGCCUGACGCAGCAACGCCGCGUGAGGGAAGAAGGUCUUCGGAUCGUAAAACGCUGUUGUUAGGGAAGAAAAAAUGUGGAAGUAUAUAUGGAGGUGAUGACGGUACCGGAAGAAAAAGCAACGGCUAACUACGUG
rnacentral:rRNA from 1 species